UACGGCUACAUUAGGUCGAAACAUUGGUUCCCGUACAAUCACCGAAGUUAAGCAACGUCGAGCCUGGUCAGUACCGAGAUGGGUGACCGCUUGGGAAUACCAGGUGCUGUU